UACGGGGGGGGCAAGCGUUGUUCGGAAUUACUGGGCGUAAAGGGCCCGUAGGCGGCCAACUAAGUCGGACGUGAAAUCCCCAGGCUCAACCUGGGAACUGCGUCCGAUACUGGAUGGCUUGAAUUCGGGAGAGGGAUGCAGAAUUCCAGGUGUAGCGGUGAAAUGCGUAGAUAUCUGGAGGAAUACCGGUGGCGAAGGCGGCAUCUUGGACCGACAUUGACGCUGAACGGCGAAAGCUAGGGGAGCAAACGGG
rnacentral:rRNA from 1 species